UACGUAGGUGGCAAGCGUUGUCCGGAUUUACUGGGCGUAAAGAGCGCGCAGGCGGUCGUUCAAGUCGCGUGUGAAAGCCCCCGGCUCAACUGGGGAGGGUCACGCGAUACUGAUCGACUGGAAGGCAGGAGAGGGUAGUGGAAUUCCCGGUGUAGUGGUGAAAUGCGUAGAUAUCAGGAAGAACACCCGUGGCGAAGGCGGCUCUCUGGGACGGUACUGACGCUGAGACGCGAAAGCGUGGGGAGCGAACAGG
rnacentral:rRNA from 1 species